GAUGAACGCUGGCGGCGUGCUUAACACAUGCAAGUCGAACGAAGCACUUUAUUUGAUUUCCUUCGGGACUGAUUAUUUUGUGACUGAGUGGCGGACGGGUGAGUAACGCGUGGGUAACCUGCCUUGUACAGGGGGAUAACAGUUGGAAACGGCUGCUAAUACCGCAUAAGCGCACAGCAUCGCAUGAUGCAGUGUGAAAAACUCCGGUGGUAUAAGAUGGACCCGCGUUGGAUUAGCUAGUUGGUGAGGUGACGGCCCACCAAGGCGACGAUCCAUAGCCGACCUGAGAGUGUGACCGGCCACAUUGGGACUGAGACACGGCCCAAACUCCUACGGGAGGCAGCAGUGGGGAAUAUUGCACAAUGGGCGAAAGCCUGAUGCAGCGACGCCGCGUGAGCGAAGAAGUAUUUCGGUAUGUAAAGCUCUAUCAGCAGGGAAGAUAAUGACGGUACCUGACUAAGAAGCACCGGCUAAAUACGUG
rnacentral:rRNA from 1 species